rnacentral:rRNA from 1 species
UACGUAGGGCGCAAGCGUUGUCCGGAAUCAUUGGGCGUAAAGAGCUCGUAGGCGGCCUGUCGCGUCCGCUGUGAAAUCCCGGGGCUUAACCCCGGGCGUGCAGUGGAUACGGGCUGGCUGGAGGCAGGCAGGGGAGAACGGAAUUCCCGGUGUAGCGGUGAAAUGCGCAGAUAUCAGGAGGAACACCGGUGGCGAAGGCGGGUCUCUGGGCCGAUAUCGACGCUGAGGAGCGAAAGCGUGGGGAGCGAACAGG